rnacentral:rRNA from 1 species
GGGGAAUAUUGCACAAUGGGGGAAACCCUGAUGCAGCGACGCCGCGUGAGCGAAGAAGGCCUUCGGGUCGUAAAGCUCUGUCCUAAGGGAAGAAACGGACGGUACCUUAGGAGGAAGCCCCGGCUAACUACGUGCCAGCAGCCGCGGUAAUACGUAGGGGGCGAGCGUUAUCCGGAAUUAUUGGGCGUAAAGGGUGCGUAGGCGGCCUUUUAAGUCAGAUGUGAAAGGCUACGGCUUAACCGUAGUUAGCAUUUGAAACUAAAAGGCUUGAGUGCAGGAGAGGAGAGUGGAAUUCCUAGUGUAGCGGUGAAAUGCGUAGAUAUUAGGAGGAACACCAGUGGCGAAGGCGACUCUCUGGACUGCAACUGACGCUGAGGCACGAAAGCGUGGGGAGCGAAC